rnacentral:rRNA from 1 species
GACGAACGCUGGCGGCGUGCUUAACACAUGCAAGUCGAACGGUGAAGGGACCGGUUUUUGCUGGUUCUGGAUGAGUGGCGAACGGGUGAGUAACACGUGAGUAACCUGCCCCCUUCUUCUGGAUAACCGCAUGAAAGUGUGGCUAAUACGGGAUAUUCUGCGCCUGCUGCAUGGUGGGUGUGGGAAAGAUAUUGUUUCGGUGGGGGAUGGGCUCGCGGCCUAUCAGCUUGUUGGUGGGGUGAUGGCCUACCAAGGCGGUGACGGGUAGCCGGCCUGAGAGGGUGGACGGUCACACUGGGACUGAGACACGGCCCAGACUCCUACGGGAGGCAGCAGUGGGGAAUAUUGCACAAUGGGCGCAAGCCUGAUGCAGCGACGCCGCGUGAGGGAUGGAGGCCUUCGGGUUGUAAACCUCUUUCGCCAGUGAAGCAGGCCUGUUCCCUUUUGUGGGUGGGUUGACGGUAGCUGGA